rnacentral:piRNA from 1 species
UACACAGACUUGAUGAGUGGAUCAUGAU